UGUUCCGGGGUUCUGGCUGCAUGGUGGGAGUUCCUGUGCACCCUUAUUACCUUUUACCACCAGAUGGCGACAGGUUCCGGCUGGAGUGCGGUGCAUUAUUAUCCGCAGCUGUUCGUGAUCAUCCUCAUCAGCGGCGCAGACUUAAGGAGUUGGCCGCCAGUCCAGCGUCGCCUGAGUGUUAGCCAGUCACGGUGAUCCUUUGAUGAGAUCCCGGUUGAAUUCCUGGCUUUUGAACCAUCCUCGUGACGCCGUGGAAAGUAUCCACAGGUUGCCCGAGUUCCCAGACUUACCUCUCCGUUGUUUUGGCAAUUAUCUCCUGGACCCCACGGCUGGCGGCCGUACCACUCCUCCGUCUCCCCGCUGCUCUCGUGCCUACCUGUCCGCUGCCCACCGCACUCCUCCGUUGUUCCUGGACCCACCAAGAACCGAGACCCCGGACAUACUCGGUUUCCCCUCCAAGACUCUGUUCAUCAGCAACAAUGAACCAUUGUUGCCGUCCCUGUUUUUGCCCCUGGACCAGACCAUCCUGAUUCUCACUGAUAAUUGUGUGAUCUUUAUUAAAUCAUUUAACACUGA